CAGUCGCCGCGGGAAUACGUAGGGGGCAAGCGUUAUCCGGAAUUACUGGGUGUAAAGGGAGCGUAGACGGUUAAACAAGUCUGAAGUGAAAUGCCGGGGCUCAACCCCGGAGCUGCUUUGGGAACUGUAGAACUGGAGUGUCGGAGGGGUAAGCGGAAUUCCCAGUGUAGCGGUGAAAUGCGUAGAUAUUGGGAGGAACACCGGCGGCGAAGGCGGCUUACUGGACGACAACUGACGUUGAGGCUCGAAGGCGUGGGUAGCAAAUAGGAUUAGAUACCCCGGUAGUCCCUGUCUCUUAUAC
rnacentral:rRNA from 1 species